rnacentral:rRNA from 1 species
UACAGAGGGUGCGAGCGUUAAUCGGAAUUACUGGGCGUAAAGCGUGCGUAGACGGUUACGUAAGUCGGGUGUGAAAGCCCCGGGCUCAACCUGGGAAUUGCAUUCGAGACUGCGUAGCUAGGGUGCGGAAGAGGGAAGCGGAAUUUCCGGUGUAGCGGUGAAAUGCGUAGAUAUCGGGAGGAACACCAGUGGCGAAGGCGACUUCCUGGCCUGUUCUUGACGCUGAGGCGCGAAAGCUAGGGGAGCAAACGGG